GCCUAGUUAGCUUAGUUGGUAGUGCGUCUGCCUUGGAAGCGCUAGGCCGCGGGUUCGAUCCCCGCCCGGGGCG
rfam:Asian citrus Psyllid, Diaphorina citri - Florida Strain, whole genome shotgun sequence.